rnacentral:lncRNA from 1 species
UUGAAUUGUUUUUAUGUUUUGAGAAAGUGUUAUUGAUUUCAGAUCGCACUAAAGACUAUGGAUAAAGCUGAAUACCUCGAACUACCAAGCCAAACGUCUUGUGUUCGAAGCAUUCAAAACGAGUGUAGGAAAGCUCUAUUCUCAUCCCUUCUUUACCACUUAAUGCUCGUGACGUACAAUCCUAAUCUCCACUUAUUGUGUUUUUGAGUUUGCUUUGAAAAAGACCGCUUGAUGUUGGAUCAAGGGUUUGCUUAUUGAGUUUGAUUUGGUAAACACCGCUUGACAUUGGAUCAAGGGUUUACUUAUUAAUUGCGAAAGAGUGAUCACUCCUAAUGCCUAAGGAGUAUCUAUAAAGCAAUAAAAGACAAAGUAAGUAAAAGCAUACAUCAGAAAGGGGAGGGGGCUACAUGUAAAGUACAAGGGAGUGCGAAAAUAAAAUCAUUCAAGUGAAAGUUAAUUCUAAAAUCUAAACUCUAUCUAAACAUGAAUUAAAACCAGAAUUAAUCACAUGAGAAAUAACAGGAUGUAACAACCUAGGUUAAUAAAUCGAUUAGAAAAUUCUACAAAUCCUAACACUAGGGGAGCAUGCAAGAUUUAGCCUAUUUCUAAGUCUAGGGGUAAAAUCGUUAAUUCACAAUUAUGGAUUAAUUUCUAUACAUGAAAAUUCCAAUUAAAUUCAAUUAAAUUCUAAAAUAAAUCUAAUUAUUCUAAAAUUUCUAAUCAUCCUAAUUAAUUUUCCAAAACUCUAAUCUAAAUUUAAUAUUCUAAUUUUAAAUUUUAAUCAACCUCAAUUCCUACUUAUUUCUCUUAUAUUUCUAAUUCUAAUUAACUAGUUCUAAUUAUCUGAUUAGAAAUCUAAAAUCUAAUUAACACCUAAUCAUUUUUUAAACUAAAAUUCUAUAACAAGUUAAAU